UACGUAGGUGGCGAACGUUAUCCGGAAUUAUUGGGCGUAAAGGAUGCGUAGAUGGUGUAGUAAGUUAUCGGUGGCAAAUCGAGGCUCAACCUCGUGGAAGUCGGUAAUACUGCUAUGCUAGAGGAUAGGAGAGGUUAACGGAACUCCCUGUGGAGCGGUGAAAUGCGUAGAUAUAGGGAAGAACACCAAUAAGGCGAAGGCAGUUAACUAUUCUACUCCUGACAUUGAGGCAUGAAAGCGUGGGGAGCAAAACGG
rnacentral:rRNA from 1 species